GUCGAACGGCAGCGCGAGANAGCUUGCUCUCUUGGCGGCGAGUGGCGGACGGGUGAGUAAUAUAUCGGAACGUGCCCAGUAGCGGGGGAUAACUACUCGAAAGAGUGGCUAAUACCGCAUACGCCCUACGGGGGAAAGGGGGGGAUCGCAAGACCUCUCACUAUUGGAGCGGCCGAUAUCGGAUUAGCUAGUUGGUGGGGUAAAGGCUCACCAAGGCAACGAUCCGUAGCUGGUUUGAGAGGACGACCAGCCACACUGGGACUGAGACACGGCCCAGACUCCUACGGGAGGCAGCAGUGGGGAAUUUUGGACAAUGGGGGAAACCCUGAUCCAGCCAUCCCGCGUGUAUGAUGAAGGCCUUCGGGUUGUAAAGUACAAUUUGCAGAGAAGAAAGGUAUCUCCUAAUAAGAGAUACUGCUGACGGUAUCUGCAGAAUAAGCACCGGCUAACUACGUGCCAGCAGCCGCGGUAAUACGUAGGGUGCAAGCGUUAAUCGGAAUUACUGGGCGUAAAGCGUGUGUAGGCGGUUCGGAAAGAAAGAUGUGAAAUCCCAGGGCUCAACCUUGGAACUGCAUAAUUAACUGCCGAGCUAGAGUAUGUCAGAGGGGGGUAGAAUUCCACGUGUAGCAGUGAAAUGCGUAGAUAUGUGAAGGAAUACCGAUGGCGAAGGCAGCCCCCUGGGAUAAUACUGACGCUCAGACACGAAAGCGUGGGGAGCAAACAGGAUUAGAUACCCUCGUAGUCCACGCCCUAAUCGAUGUCAACUAGCUGUUGGGGCCGUUACGGUCUAGUAGCGCAGCUAACGCGUGAAGUUGAGCGCCUGGGGAGUACGGUCGCAAGAUUAAAACUCUAAGGAAUUGACGGGGACCCGCACAAGCGGUGGAUGAUGUGGAUUAAUUCGAUGCAACGCGAUUAACCUUACCUACCCUUGACAUGUCUGGAAAGCCGAAGAGAUUUGGCCGUGCUCGCAAGAGAACCGGAACACAGGUGCUGCAUGGCUGUCGACAGCUCGUGUCGUGAGAUGUUGGGUUAAGUCCCGCAACGGGCGCAACCCUUGUCAUUAGUUGCUACGGAAGNAGCACUCUAAUGAGACUGCCGGUGACAAACCGGAGGAAGGUGGGGAUGACGUCAAGUCCUCAUGGCCCUUAUGGGUAGGGCUUCACACGUCAUACAAUGGUCGGGACAGAGGGUCGCCAACCCGCGAGGGGGAGCCAAUCUCAGAAACCCGAUCGUAGUCCGGAUCGCAGUCUGCAACUCGACUGCGUGAAGUCGGAAUCGCUAGUAAUCGCGGAUCAGAAUGUCGCGGUGAAUACGUUCCCGGGUCUUGUACACACGCCCCGUCACUCCAUGGGAGUGGGUUUCACCAGAAGUAGGUAGCCUAACCGUAAGGAGGGCGCUUACCACGGUGGUGAAUCAUGACUGGGGUGAAGU
rnacentral:rRNA from 1 species